AUGGGAAAGGAGAGGCGAAUUUGGCCCUUGCUCCCUCCCUUCCUUUAUGCUGCGCGAGUUGUUCUCAUUAGCAUAAAAUUCAUCCCGCUUGUAAUUAAAGAGGGGAGGCAGAUAGAACCCAGUCUUUUUUUCUCAUGGCAGGGAACGAAUAAGCAUCUCCCUCUCUGCAGGAACUCUCCAGGACACACACUGCAACAGGUGCUGAAAUCUGAAAGACUUUCAUACAAGCAAGGAUGCAGGACCUUGGACAGAUAUAUCAUCAUCUCAAGCCAGAAAAACAAAAAAACGCAGAGAAAUAAUUUGAGUGAGAGAGAUCAGUAGCUGUGUGGGCCUGGACAAGGAGAACAGGAGGAGGAGGAGAAACAGAGAGAAAAUAGGAAGAGAACGAGAGGAUAGGAUUGAUGCCUGUUUGGAAGCAGUGAAUGAUGAACCAGGGAGCAGGUGAUCCCAGCUGUCGAUGGCCAUGGGCUCUCUGGCUCCUCUCUUCCCGUGGCCCUCUGCUCCGUGCCGGGUUCUCAGGGAGCCGGCUGGGGCCAGCCAGGCAGCGGCAGAGUGGGCAGGCGAGCCGAGGCAAGGGGAGGCGAGGCAGGCUCUCAUCCCCGCUAGCAAGAUGCUCCUCAGAAAAGCGGAGCAGCAAAUCAAUAUGGAGGAGAGAGGCUAGCAGAGUUCGCCCAUCACUGCCCCCGGCCCUAGAGCCCAGGGACCCAGCGCUGCCAGCUCUCGCUCUCCUCCUCCUCUAGUAGCAGGACCAGAACCAGCCACUGUAUGGAGCACAUCAGUCAGAUCCUAACCCUCAACCACCCGCUUUCUCUCUAUCUGUGUGUGUGUAAGCAUGUCUGUAUGUGUGGUUCCGCCGUAGGGGCUUUCCUGGUCCAAGACCAUUUGAUAAAACUUUGCCAGCGAGAAAGAGAGAGAAUAAAAAACGGACGUCAAAGGUCUUUUUAUUUAUUUUUUCGCUGAUUACUCAUUCUUACUCAUUCCACCUGACUAUUUGAGCAAGAGUUCUUAUAUUGAAUUGAACAGGGCUCUCUCGUCAGUCCCCCUCCAAGCAUGUACUGUACAGUCACCAUGCUCUCCACAUCUGAUGAACCAGGAUAAAAGGACAAUUUGAACUUUUUUCUCUCGUCUGCAGAUUCAGAGAAAAUCUUUUUUUCGCCUCCAGUUUUCUUCCUCACCCCUCAGGUUACUAUCAGAGGAGGUGGCAGAGGUUAUUGAUCUGUAUGGAGAUGGAAGAGGUGCUGGUUUUGAUACAGUACAGUUCACUGUCUGAUGGUUAUAUAGUAGUGCCUGAUAACCCAUUCACUGUACAGCUGAACUAUAUUCAGGAGUGAACGAGUCCUGAGUGAGAGAUGAAAAGGACGGUGAGCAUAUAGUGCCUGAACAGUGGCCUGAACAGUGGGCCUGAUCAGUGGCCUGAACAGUAUCCACUAUUUCAUGUGACUUUUCUCCUCCAUAUUUGAACAAUUCUCUCCCCACAAGGAGCUUUGAAAAGACCUUCUAUACAAGAAGCCCUAUCUUUAGAUACAUAGAAAUAGAAAACAUUUGAUUAAAUAAGAAUGACUUUAAGUGAUUUUUUUUUCGUUGGAGAAGAAAGGGAUUGAAAACUUCUGGGCUGGAGAGGACAAAGGGGACAGAGAUAGUUUGGACCUGAAACAGGAACACCUUUACACAGAGAGAUCUACAAACAACACAAUGUUGCAGACUUCACUUG
ensembl:lncRNA